GGCUUCGUAGCUCAGCUGGUAGAGCGCUUGUCGCGUAAAGGCAUAGUGUUCCUGUCGCUGGUUCAAAUGCAGCCGAAGCCC
rnacentral:tRNA from 1 species